rnacentral:rRNA from 1 species
UACGUAGGGUGCAAGCGUUAAUCGGAAUUACUGGGCGUAAAGCGUGCGCAGGCGGUGAUGUAAGAAAGAAGUGAAAUCCCCGGGCUCAACCUGGGAACUGCAUUUGUGACUGCAUCGCUGGAGUACGGCAGAGGGGGAUGGAAUUCCGCGUGUAGCAGUGAAAUGCGUAGAUAUGCGGAGGAACACCGAUGGCGAAGGCAAUCCCCUGGGCCUGUACUGACGCUCAUGCACGAAAGCGUGGGGAGCAAACAGG